UUAUUGUUUCAUUUCAGCAUGAAUAUGUAUUUAAAACAAAAGAAAUACUGGUUAAUAACGUUCCAUGUAAGGCUGUGUGACAUAACAAUAUGUAUCUUUCAGAAACUCUAAAAAUGUCUGUUGACACUGGUUACAUUUUACGCUAUACUGUAUCAUUAAUGGUAC